ensembl:lncRNA
CGGUGAGUAGAUGGGAGGCGAGGUACAUGUGGGGGAAGGAUAGCGGCACUUCAGGGCCAGUUUGCUUAACAGACCCUGAAGGUACACUCAUUUCUCAAUUUGUUUUUGUAACUUAUAACACUACAUGAAAUUAUCCUGAAAGACUGGAGCAUUUUUGUGUAGUUAGGUGCAAUUAAAGUACUGUUAUUUAUAUUUUAGAAUUCGAGAGGUUUUCUUUUCACUCCAUUAACAUUUACUUUGCCAUUUAGCCGCGUUUCACAUGAACAACAGGAAAGGGAACGCCACAAAGCGUCAUUAUUUUUCAAACUGGGCCCUGUACUCCUGACAAAAGAUGUACUUCAAACCUGCUGGGAAUUUCCGACUCUGGAGAACAGAGCUGCACAGCGCUGCAAGACUCCUUUCAUUUAGCAGGCAGCAGGAUUUAUACAUUGUAUGCCUUUGGCUGUUUGCUUUAAUGUAAAAGUGCCUCAUGUGCUGCAGAGACACAGCUUUGUUCUUACUUUGAUACAACAGCAAUUCAGUGGUCCUAGGUUGUAAUUUUUUUUUUUUUAAUUCUGGGAGUGACUCAUAAAAUGUAAGACAAGUCAUACUUUAUAGCUUUGCCUUUACUCGUGUUUUUAAGUAAGCAUCUUAUAGUAUUAUAGUGUCUUUAAUUCAUCAGAUUAUGUCCUCUUUUUGUGAGAAUGAUGCUUUAUCUUGUUCCAAUCUCCUUUAGAUGUGGCAAAAACAUUCAAAAUUCUCUUUUAUAAUUUGUUAUGGUGGUUGUCAUUUAUACACACGCUACUGGCCAGUUUAAUAUCACACAUCAUUGCUCAUGCUGUCAGUGGCUGCUAACUACGCCCAUUCAAAUAUUCUCCGCAGUGAUUUGCAUCUGGGCUCCAGACACUGAUCAAUGCACCAUGGCUCUAUUGUUCACACAAGUGUUGGCUGGGUGUAGCUGUAGCAAUCAGAUGCCUUAUCUCACAUUAGACAGAUUUCUCUGGUGAAACCCUAGCCAUGGAAAAUAAAAGGAAAAUAGCUCCGUUCCAGUUCUCCGUAAUGACCGUUCGCCUGCACUGAGGGGCCACGUUGAUUGACAGUGAUGAUGGAAGAUGGCAGUUUCAUUCCUUCCAUCAUUAACACCCCUACAGCUUUUCCACCUACUGCUUGGAGCUGAUCCAGGCAGUUCCCAGGGGAGGCCUUGCAGACUGCCUAAUUGAAUCAAGUACAUAUGGUGCCUCCCCCUUUGCAGCUCGGCCCCUCCCUGAAUGAGAUGAGCGAGGAGGAGAGCUUCAGCUUUGAUGCUUUUGUUCUUCUCAACAUCAUGGACGGCUCUGGGGGGCUUCACUGCAACUAGUUGACUGGUGGAUGGAGAGGCACACCAUCACUACAGAAUCAUGAAUUCAUUCUCCCAAAAAUCCUGAAGCUGAAAAUUGGUGUUUUAGACUGUACAACACUAUAAAUUUCUAGUCUAGCUUUGGACAGAAAGAGCUGACCCAAUCAGAGAGAUCCAAAUAUUCAACAGCCUAUUUAAUCUGUAUGUGAUGCAACCACAUUAUCACUCAUGUGCCAGUGGGCAGGUGGCUUAGACAGGCAAAAUAAACAACUGCUGAUAAGACAAAGACAGCGCUGUGUGACUGUGCAUAACUUCCUGCC